rnacentral:rRNA from 1 species
UCUAAGCCAUGCGAGUCAUUGUAGCAAUACAAGGCAGACGGCUCAGUAACGCGUAGUCAAUCUACCCUAUGGACGGGAAUAACCUCGGGAAACUGAGAAUAAUGCCCGAUAGAACAUUAUGCCUGGAAUGGUUUAUGUUUCAAAUGAUUUAUCGCUAUAGGAUGGGACUGCGGCCUAUCAGUUUGUUGGUGAGGUAAUGGCCCACCAAGACUAUUACAGGUACGGGCUCUGAGAGGAGUGGCCCGGAGAUGGGUACUGAGACACGGACCCAGGCCCUAUGGGGCGCAGCAGGCGAGAAAACUUUGCAAUGUGCGAAAGCACGACAAGGUUAAUCCGAGUGGUUUCUGCUAAAGAAACCUUUUGUCAGUCCUAGAAACACUAACGAAUAAGGGGUGGGCAAGUUCUGGUGUCAGCCGCCGCGGUAAAACCAGCACCUCAAGUGGUCAGGAUGAUUAUUGGGCCUAAAGCAUCCGUAGCUCGUUUUGUAAGUUUUCGGUUAAAUCCAUGCGCUUAACGUAUGGGCUGCCGGGAAUACUGCAUAACUAGGAAGUGGGAGAGGUAGACGGUACUCGGUAGGAAGGGGUAAAAUCCUUUGAUCUAUUGAUGACCACCUGUGGCGAAGGCGGUCUACCAGAACACGUUCGACGGUGAGGGAUGAAAGCUGGGGGAGCAAACCGGAUUAGAUACCCGGGUAGUCCCAGCUGUAAACUAUGCAAACUCAGUGAUGCAUUGGCUUGUGGCCAAUGCAGUGCUGCAGGGAAGCCGUUAAGUUUGCCGCCUGGGGAAGUACGUACGCAAGUAUGAAACUUAAAGGAAUUGGCGGGGGAGCACCACAAGGGUGAAGCCUGCGGUUCAAUUGGAGUC